CAGUGUUCCCAUGUCUCACAGUGUCCCAAUGUCUCUAAGUUUUACCUAGUGUCCUAGUGGCAUGGGGACACUGGGAGACAUGGGGACACA